rnacentral:tRNA from 1 species
UUCGGCGCAACGGGUUGAAUGGAGCGUGAAUUUUGACUGUUAAUCAAUUGGUCGUAGGUUCGAUCCCUACCGCCGGAGCCA